rnacentral:rRNA from 1 species
GAUGAACGCUGGCGGCGUGCCUAAUACAUGCAAGUCGAGCGAACAGACGAGGAGCUUGCUCCUCUGACGUUAGCGGCGGACGGGUGAGUAACACGUGGAUAACCUACCUAUAAGACUGGGAUAACUUCGAGAAACCGGAGCUAAUACCGGAUAAUAUAUUGAACCGCAUGGUUCAAUAGUGAAAGACGGUUUUGCUGUCACUUAUAGAUGGAUCCGCGCCGCAUUAGCUAGUUGGUAAGGUAACGGCUUACCAAGGCAACGAUGCGUAGCCGACCUGAGAGGGUGAUCGGCCACACUGGAACUGAGACACGGUCCAGACUCCUACGGGAGGCAGCAGUAGGGAAUCUUCCGCAAAGGGCGAAAGCUUGACGGAGCAACGCCGCGUGAGUGAUGAAGGUCUUCGGAUCGUAAAACUCUGUUAUUAGGGAAGAACAAAUGUGUAAGUAACUAUGCACGUCUUGACGGUACCUAAUCAGAAAGCCACGGCUAACUACGUG